rnacentral:rRNA from 1 species
UGAACGCUGGCGGUAGGCCUAACACAUGCAAGUCGAACGGCAGCACAGUAAGAGCUUGCUCUUACGGGUGGCGAGUGGCGGACGGGUGAGGAAUACAUCGGAAUCUACUUUUUCGUGGGGGAUAACGUAGGGAAACUUACGCUAAUACCGCAUACGACCUACGGGUGAAAGCAGGGGAUCUUCGGACCUUGCGCGAUUGAAUGAGCCGAUGUCGGAUUAGCUAGUUGGCGGGGUAAAGGCCCACCAAGGCGACGAUCCGUAGCUGGUCUGAGAGGAUGAUCAGCCACACUGGAACUGAGACACGGUCCAGACUCCUACGGGAGGAAGCAGUGGGGAAUAUUGGACAAUGGGCGCAAGCCUGAUCCAGCCAUACCGCGUGGGUGAAGAAGGCCUUCGGGUUGUAAAGCCCUUUUGUUGGGAAAGAAAAGCAGCAGGUUAAUACCCCGCUGUUCUGACGGUACCCAAAGAAUAAGCACCGGCUAACUUCGUG